GAUUUCCGCUGAUGAGCCCUUCUAUCCCUUUGUCCACCCACCUUUCCUCCUAGCUCCCCGAACCUUAAAUAGCCAUAAGUCGUUCAUAUACGCAGCAAGCAAGUCGCAAGUUUAGUUUUACCCCCGAUCACCGUCGUCGCGAGUAAGGAGUGUACGAGAAAGUACGAAGAGAAGUGUAAAGUGUUCUAAUCGACAGAGGAAGACCUGGACGAUUAAUAAGCCAAACGCCCCGAAUCGUCCCUGGUUCGCCGCGUGCUACGGCACGGUCAAAAGCGUGAUUAAGCCAAAACUAUCGUAAGUGAUUAAGCGCUAAAACAGUUAAAUCGUUUUUAAAGUUGAACCAAUCAAUUAAAUAGGUGCGGACGUCACCAUCGCACUGAACCAGCAAGUCGCCGUCGGCGACUUCGCCGCUGUUAGGGCAUAUCCAAGCAGUAAGUUCACUUAAAUAGUAGAAUUGAUUCGAAAUUAACAGUAGACACGACAUUAAAGGUUUCGUUAUUAGACGGUGAUCGAAAGUGAGAAAGAUUGUAAAGUUCUCCCCAGAAGCCAACUAAGAAGAAGGUUGACGUGCGGGGCUCAAAGAGCGCGGCGCGCACGCGCACGUGGCAACGCGAUAAUUUCGCACCCGGGCUGACUAAGCCCGCGCACAGCACGUGCCGGCAAGUACGAUUCGUGCCAUCAGCUUCCAGCAACCUGACCACGUGUAGCGCUACUAACAGCAUCGAUUAAGCCCCCCGCGAGGUCAAGGCAAUAACGCGUCGUUCACGCGUGCAGCGCCGGUUCCCGUAGGAGUCCACAUUGCCGACUCUGAGCCAAAGGGCCACGGCGCACGUGAGUUUUGCUCUCCGUAGGAGGCCGAGCCAAACCCUCUGAGCAAAGGAAGCAACGACUCGCACGAACGGCAACAGCGUUACCCUUAACCACCUCGCCAAGCAACGUCAACGCGCACGAUCGAAACGGCCAGACAGCCGCCGGCCAAGGCCCGCGAUACGUGAUCGCCUCGUGAAGGAAUCGUUUCUCUGCCAGCUGUACGUGAAGUACCAUUGGGUCCAGCGCGUCGUCACACGUGCCUGGCGUCAGACCUGUAGGAGUCCACGCCACCGGCUCUGAGCAAAAGGGUCUCGACGCAAUUGAGCACAUCUCUCCGUAGGGGCCCCUGUCAACCGCCCUGAGCAACUGGAAUUUGUAGCUCGCACGACGACAACAGCGCUCGACACAUUCACUUCACCCCGAGCGCAACCUUCGGUCCAGUGCCACCCUUUCGUUCCCCAAGUGUCCUGCGUUGAAUCCCGUAGGAGUGCACCGUCCGCACCUCCGAGCAAUUGGGAGCAGCGCGCCAAGAUUCUGCCACCUGUAGGGCCCACCCGCAACCGGGCUCGAGUCAUUGGGUAGCAGCGAUCGACACGAACGAAGUACGUGGGUGUACAACACGAUCGACGGUUCGACUAGGCAGCAGCACAAGCAACACCGCGCUCGACGAGCGCGCCAAACCAGCCCGCCACUCAGGCGUGGGCGUAUCAACUAAGCCACGAACGAUUCCACGAGCAGCAAACCGUCCACGGGAAGGCAUUCAGGACCUGCCGGCCAAGCCGGCGAAGGCGGCCCUGCAGAGUACGAGGAGCAGAAGCACCGAACAGCAGAGCGAGAAUCAACGCGCGAGCAGCAGUGACCGCCGCAGACCAGCCAGGACACCGACGUAACCUAGGUUACCACCACAAGGUCAGAUCUUUCCUUUAUGUGUACACAUAACUAACCAUUCAUGCGCAUUAGUAUUAAGGCCCCUUGUAUUUAAUAAAUAAGUCGGAAGAAAAGUAAGCUCUGAGUCAAGGUGUCCAAUUUGUAAGCGUGGACUGA
rnacentral:lncRNA from 1 species